rnacentral:rRNA from 1 species
UAUUGCGCAAUGGAGGAAACUCUGACGCAGUGACGCCGCGUAUAGGAAGAAGGUUUUCGGAUUGUAAACUAUUGUCGUUAGGGAAGAGAAAGGACAGUACCUAAGGAGGAAGCUCCGGCUAACUCCGUGCCAGCAGCCGCGGUAAUACGGAGGAUGCAAGCGUUAUCCGGAUUUAUUGGGUUUAAAGGGUGCGUAGGCGGGCUUUAAAGUCAGCGGUAAAAAUUCGGGGCUCAACCCCGUCCGGCCGUUGAAACUGGGGGCCUUGAGUGGGCGAGAAGAAGGCGGAAUGCGUGGUGUAGCGGUGAAAUGCAUAGAUAUCACGCAGAACCCCGAUUGCGAAGGCAGCCUUCCGGCGCCCUACUGACGCUGAGGCACGAAAGUGCGGGGAUCGAACAGG